rnacentral:tRNA from 1 species
GUGGGUGUAGCUCAGUUGGUAGAGCACCAGGUUGUGGCCCUGGUGGUCGAGGGUUCGAGUCCCUUCACUCACCCCA